AAGAAUUUGGGUUUGGAAUUUGAAAACUUUUUUACUGUCGUUUGUUGUAAUUUGAGUUUGGACUUUGCUAUGUUAUUUUACUGAUGCAAACUUAUAUCAUUGUAAUUGGAUGUUGUUGUUAUUUUAAGCAUCUCGUCUGAUUUAGUACUAGUAAUGUUAUUAUUGGUCUCUCUAAUUUGAAGUUUUGGUUAAUCUUUGUUAUUAUGGGUUGAGUAUAUGCGAAAGAUAUUACGGGAUACAGUUUUGCUGUUAUUUGUCUAUCAAGUCUAGAUUAGAGGAAGAUUGUUAACAGCGUGAGCCUUUUUUAUUCUU
rnacentral:lncRNA from 1 species